CACGUAGGGUGCGAGCGUUGUCCGGAAUUAUUGGGCGUAAGGAGCUCGUAGGCGGUGUGUCGCGUCGGCCGUGAAACUUGGGGCUUAACUCUGAGCGUGCGGUCGAUACGGGCAUCACUUGAGUUCGGCAGGGGAGACUGGAAUUCCUGGUGUAGCGGUGAAAUGCGCAGAUAUCAGGAGGAACACCGGUGGCGAAGGCGGGUCUCUGGGCCGAUACUGACGCUGAGGAGCGAAAGCGCGGGGAGCGAACAGGAUUAGAAACCCUAGUAGU
rnacentral:rRNA from 1 species